CCUACGGGAGGCAGCAGUGAGGAAUAUUGGGCAAUGGACGGAAGUCUGAACCAGCCAUGCCGCGUGCAGGAAGACGGCUCUAUGAGUUGUAAACUGCGUUUGUACAAGGGUAAACCUGCAUUCGUGUAUUCAGCUGAACGUACUGUACGUAUAAGGAUCGGCUAACCCCGGGCCAGCAGCCGCGGGAAUACGGAGGAUAGAAGCGUUAUGCGGAUUUAUUGGGUUUAAAGGGUGCGUAGGCGGGUUGAUAAGUUAGAGGUGAAAUGUCCGGGCUUAACUCGGGAACGGCCUUUGAUACUGGUGAACUAGAGGGUAGAAGCGGUAAGCGGAAUGUAAGGUGUAGCGGUGAAAUGCUUAGAGAU
rnacentral:rRNA from 1 species